GCAAAACAACACAACAGAGAAACCCACCAAAAUUUCAAGCCAACAAAGAAAACCCACCAAGAAAAUCACAUAAUUCCACCAACCCAGAACCCAAAAACCGACUCUUCACCUCAAAAUCAAGAUAUUUCUGAAAUAUCCUGCAAAAGACAUGAACUUUGAACAGUAAAAUAUCUGCAGUUGGGAAAUGAUAAGAAUCAGGAAGAGCCAAGCAAAUUUAAAGUAGCCAAAAACAAGAACUGAUUCUCAGAAAAAAAGGGAAUUAGG
rnacentral:misc_RNA from 1 species